rnacentral:rRNA from 1 species
UACGGAGGAUCCGAGCGUUAUCCGGAAUUAUUGGGUUUAAAGGGUGCGUAGGCGGCCAUUUAAGUCAGCGGUGAAAUUUUGCAGCUUAACUGUAACAGUGCCGUUGAUACUGGGGAGCUAGGAUUUGGUUGCUGUGGGUGGAAUGUGUGGUGUAGCGGUGAAAUGCUUAGAGAUCACACAGAAUAUCGAUUGCGAAGGCAGCUCACAAAGCCAAGAUUGACGCUGAGGCACGAAAGUGUGGGGAUCAAACAGGAUUA